rnacentral:rRNA from 1 species
AGCGAACGCUGGCGGCAGGCUUAACACAUGCAAGUCGAACGGGCACUUCGGUGCUAGUGGCAGACGGGUGAGUAACGCGUGGGAACGUACCUUUCGGUUCGGAAUAAUUCAGGGAAACUUGGACUAAUACCGGAUACGCCCUUCGGGGGAAAGAUUUAUCGCCGAUUGAUCGGCCCGCGUCUGAUUAGCUAGUUGGUGAGGUAAUGGCUCACCAAGGCGACGAUCAGUAGCUGGUCCGAGAGGAUGAUCAGCCACAUUGGGACUGAGACACGGCCCAAACUCCUACGGGAGGCAGCAGUGGGGAAUAUUGGACAAUGGGCGCAAGCCUGAUCCAGCCAUGCCGCGUGAGUGAUGAAGGCCUUAGGGUUGUAAAGCUCUUUUGUCCGGGAAGAUAAUGACUGUACCGGAAGAAUAAGCCCCGGCUAACUUCGUGCCAGCAGCCGCAGUAACAC